AGAACGCUACCGAUAAGAGUUGCGCCAGCUAUUGUCAUUGAGCAAUUAGUUAUUACUUAUGAGCGCAGUAGUUAUUUGUUUGUUCAAAUUGAAAUAUAACUGUACCCUAAAAACAGACCUCGCCUUUUCUAAUGUUCCAUUAAUUAUAGCUAAGUCAAUUGAGAGACUGAAAAUUCGAAAAAUCAGUCGGCGAACAUUUGCCCAAAUCACUAUAACGAUUGCGUGGAUUUAGUAAACUUCCAUUCAUUUCAAAUUAAUCCAUUUUAAUAAAGUAUUUAACUGGAAAAAUCAAUCGACAGUUUGAAUUCAGUGGUCAGAAAGCAUUCCACAUUUCUGAAUUUCGUAUAUGAAGAAUUCGUUGUUUGCAUUUAUUGCCAUCAUAUGCGAGGUGCCAUCUAAAAAUGUUUUCCCAGCUGAGAUAUGCAUAAUCAUAUGUACCUUUGACUAUUUAUUUUUGCCUUACUCCAAUAAAAAUACUCAAAAUAACAUUGUUUAA